UGGGGAAUUUUUCGCAAUGGGGGAAACCCUGACGAAGCAACGCCGCGUGGAGGAUGAAGGCCUUCGGGUCGUAAACUCCUGUCGACCGGGACGAAAGUAGUCCGACCCAAUACGUCGGGCUAUCGACUGUACCGGUGGAGGAAGCCACGGCUAACUCUGUGCCAGCAGCCGCGGUAAUACAGAGGUGGCAAGCGUUGUUCGGAAUUACUGGGCGUAAAGGGCGCGUAGGCGGCCUUGCAAGUCCUGCGUGAAAUCCCUCGGCUCAACUGAGGAAUUGCACGGGAAACUGUUUGGCUUGAGUUCGGGAGAGGGAAGCGGAAUUCCGGGUGUAGCGGUGAAAUGCGUAGAUAUCCGGAGGAACACCGGUGGCGAAGGCGGCUUCCUGGACCGACACUGACGCUGAGGCGCGAAAGCUAGGGGAGCAAAUGGG
rnacentral:rRNA from 1 species